ACAUUUCGUCCAAGAUCCUAAAUAUCCGGGGAUAUUAUACAACCACGACAAUGAGUAUCUUCACUACCAAGACGACUGGUACAUUCUCUCAUCCCAAGUGGAAAACAAA